UCCACAAACACCAUUUAUAUUAAGUUAUCGGGAAGAGACUCUCCGCUAGAGAGAGCCAUUCAGGAACCGAUGUGCUUACAUGGGAGAAAAGACUGUUUCAAGGCCAAGCUUUUUUAGCUAAACUAUCUGCUCGAGUAUUAGAACUACGAGGAAGAAAUCUAAUAUU
rnacentral:sRNA from 1 species